CUUCGCCUAGACAAAUGCUACCGUGGAGCUCGGCGGAGCGCCGCGCGCCGCGGAUUGUGCGGCCUAGAGCCGGCCUUUGGGGCGUGAAAAGCACUCCUUUGCCCCUUCGCGAGGCGGAAGCCGUCACAUCCGGGGGGGAAAAAAAGACUCAAUGAAAAUAUUUACAUUCUUCCGCGAGCUCGCUCUUCCCACUCUCCAUCACUCCCUGCAUCCUGCUGUUAUGAAUUUUGGAGCAGCCUGUUUUCUCUCCGAGUCUGAGACUGAUUUUAUUGAAAUAGCUGACGACCGUGAUGGUAGCAGUGCCACAGACAUGCUGAUUCUACACCAUCUCAGGAAUCCCCUGCACCAAGGAUAUUCCCCAAGAGCAAGUGGCUUCAUGCUCUUGCUAAACAGCCCCCAAAGUGAGCGUGUGAGAGCUCGAUCCACAGGCUCCCAGCACCUUCGCUGCCUUACCCAUGCUGUAUUUAAAACAGAGGAUGAAGAUUUCAAGGCUGGAGUAGCUGCACCAGACACCUGCAGGAAAGUGAAUCGUGAGCACAAGGAGGGGUGAGAAAGUGAAGAGCAAAGCCUGAGACACUAAAUAUGCCUCAUUAGGAAGUGGCACUCAAGCAAGGCUGCAGGCAAAGAGCUUUCUCUUUAGAGAUUUCUUCCUCUGCGGGCCCGUUUAAUUGCCAGGGCCUUUUCUCCAGGCCAGGUAUCUCCCACACUCGUCUGAAAUGGAUUUUUACUGGGCCAGGAUCAGGAAUUCAGGAGAGGAAUGACUUCAGUAGGAGCCCAGUCUUGCUAAUGGUAUCAGUAGUGGUGACUGGAUGCUGCUACAGUAGUAAAAAGACAAGUCCUAAAUAAUCAUUACUCAUGCCUUGUGCAUAUUUCUGGGUAUAAUUAAGAGUGUCAUCAUCACCUGCCUUCUGCUUUUGGCUCUGGGGGCUGCUUUAUGCCCAGCUGUGCUUGCUCUGACCUCCUUUCCCCCCCUUUGGCCAACCCCUGCCCCAUGUGGACUCGCUGUCCCAUCCCCAUCUCCUCUGGGACUCUUGCCUUCCUCUUGUUUGGGAGCCCUGAAUCCUCGUCCCCAGGGAGUCUGCCUCAGGUAGGCCCCCAGCUGCUGAUUUGGUGCCACCUUUCCUGCUGCUGUUUGGCCCUGGCAUUGCCAUGCCAUCUAGGAGUUCCUCUAUCAGGCCCGGAUCCCAAAAAUCCAGCUCAGAUUUAGAUGCGUAAGAUCUUUCAACCCAAUGCAGUCAGUGACCUCCAGCGAGAGCUGUGGACUAUAGAGCAGUCACUCCCAAAGGAAAUGUCAGGUAGCAGCAACUUGGUUUUAUGCUUGUAUCCCUAAUGGCUUGAUAGCAAGCAUGAUUCCAGCUGAGGCCUUUGGCACAACUGCAACAUCAAUAUUUCCUUUGACUGUUUAGGAGAAAUAGGAGCAUGCAAACCAUGGUAGCUGAGCCUGGUUAUUACAUUGUCACUGAACUUGGGAAUAUGGGACUUGCCAAAUACAAGGAAAUAAAAAACUAGGGUUUUGACGUCUGGUGAUCAUUAGACAUCCCGCAGUACUCUUUGCUGUUGGGAGGGCAUUAAUGCCACUCUCCUGGCCAGACUAGGACCCAGGUGGAUGGACCCCUCUGCCCUACAUCUGGAAAGCUGGGGCAAGAGGAGAAGAGGAACACUUAUUCCAACAGCUGUGCAGUGUCACGGGAAACGUCAAUGCACAGCUGCUAGGUUUCACCCUAGAGCCAGCUGCAAGUGUUCAGACAUCUGUCCUCUGUGUACAGGCAGUCAAAUGGAUGGCAAACUGAACAGAUCUACCCCACAGAAAUCAAUUCCAUGUGGCAGGUAGGGAGAUUAGAUGCUAUUGGCAAACUAUGGAGCAGGGACAGAUGCUUACGUUGGGGCAUGGACAGCACCUUGCACGGUGCCGUCCUGAUCUGGGUUACGGCCCCAGAGCUGAUGGAGUACAAAUAACAAUGAUGGCGCUGAUCAA